rnacentral:rRNA from 1 species
GGAGUUGCUAGUAAUCGCGAAUCAGCAUGUCGCGGUGAAUACGUUCCCGGGCCUUGUACACACCGCCCGUCACACCAUGAGAGUUGGCAAUACCCAACGUACGUGAUCUAACCCGCAAGGGAGGAAGCGUCCUAAGGUAGGGUCAGCGAUUGGGGUGAAGUCGUAACAAGGUACC